rnacentral:rRNA from 1 species
CUACGGGACGCAGCAGUGGGGAAUAUUGCACAAUGGAGGAAACUCUGAUGCAGCAACGCCGCGUGGAGGAUGACACUUUUCGGAGCGUAAACUCCUUUUAUAUAGGAAGAAGAUGACGGUACUAUAUGAAUAAGCGCCGGCUAACUCCGUGCCAGCAGCCGCGGUAAUACGGAGGGCGCAAGCGUUACUCGGAAUCACUGGGCGUAAAGAGCGUGUAGGCGGAUUAAAAAGUCAGAAGUGAAAUCCUAUAGCUUAACUAUAGAACUGCUUCUGAAACUCUUAAUCUAGAAUAUGGGAGAGGUAGAUGGAAUUUCUGGUGUAGGGGGAAGAUCCGUAGAGAUCAGAAGGAAUACCGAUUGCGAAGGCGAUCUACUAGAACAUUAUUGACGCUGAGACGCGAAAGCGUGGGGAGCAAACAGGAUUAGAUACCCUGGUAGUC